AUUGAACGCUGGCGGCAGGCCUAACACAUGCAAGUCGAGCGGAUGAAGGGAGCUUGCUCCUGGAUUCAGCGGCGGACGGGUGAGUAAUGCCUAGGAAUCUGCCUGGUAGUGGGGGAUAACGUCCGGAAACGGGCGCUAAUACCGCAUACGUCCUGAGGGAGAAAGUGGGGGAUCUUCGGACCUCACGCUAUCAGAUGAGCCUAGGUCGGAUUAGCUAGUUGGUGGGGUAAAGGCCUACCAAGGCGACGAUCCGUAACUGGUCUGAGAGGAUGAUCAGUCACACUGGAACUGAGACACGGUCCAGACUCCUACGGGAGGCAGCAGUGGGGAAUAGUGGACAGUGGGCGAAAGCCUGAUCCAGCCAUGCCGCGUGUGUGAAGAAGGUCUUCGGAUUGUAAAGCACUUUAAGUUGGGAGGAAGGGCAGUAAGUUAAUACCUUGCUGUUUUGACGUUACCAACAGAAUAAGCACCGGCUAACUUCGUG
rnacentral:rRNA from 1 species